rnacentral:rRNA from 1 species
CGUAAGGCGCCGAAUGAGUCAUUAAAAAUUAACAUCAUCCGAUCCCUAGUCGGCAUAGUUUAUGGUUAAGACUACGACGGUAUCUGAUCGUCUUCGAUCCCCUAACUUUCGUUCUUGAUUAAUGAAAACAUCCUUGGCAAAAUGCUUUUCGCAGUAGUUAGUCUUCAAUAAAUCCAAGAAUUUCACCUCUGACAAUUGAAUACUAAUGCCCCCAACUAUCCCUAUUAAUCAUUACGUCAAUCCUAAGAAACCAACAAAAUAGGAUCGAACGUCCUAUUUCAUUAUUCCAUGCUAAUGUAUUCAAG